rnacentral:rRNA from 1 species
GACGUAGGGCGCGAGCGUUGUCCGGAUUUAUUGGGCGUAAAGAGCUCGUAGGCGGCUUGUCGCGUCGACUGUGAAAUCCCGCGGCUCAACUGCGGGUCUGCAGUCGAUACGGGCAGGCUAGAGUUCGGUAGGGGAGACUGGAAUUCCUGGUGUAGCGGUGAAAUGCGCAGAUAUCAGGAGGAACACCGAUGGCGAAGGCAUGUCUCUGGGCCACUACUGACGCUGAGAAGCGAAAGCAUGGGGAGCGAACAGG